rnacentral:lncRNA from 1 species
UUGGACCUUUCAAGGUUUGAAGUGAUUUUGAAGUUUGACCUUUCUUUUAUUUUUAACUCAAGUUUAUCUUAAUAUUAAAAAUGCCAAAAAUAUUUUGUUUAUGGUUUGAUCUCCAAUCUUCAUCUCUUUUCUGAUUUCUUAUUGUUUGACUUUGACUUUCAAUGUCAUUUGGUCAAUACACAUGGAUUGGUACAUUUUUAUUUCACCUUAUGCAUUUUGAUCUUUCC